rnacentral:lncRNA from 1 species
AUGCUUGUGGAAAACAAAUCGAAGGUCCGCUGCCCUGUGGUUUAUUCACAGCUGGUGUCAGACAAAUCUCUGGGACUGCGGGGUAUCCUCAGGCCGCAUCACGGGGGUCCACGUCCACUCCACCUUUCUCAAGGUGCACUGUCCUGCCGGGUGGCUCUGAUGAGCAGCACUGGUGACCAGCUGACCCUCUUUGCAAAGAGGAGGGCACGGAAAAAACUUUUCACCAGCGACAGCAAGCACAGAGCUGGCCGUGAUGUACGUCAAGGAUGACACAGAUACUAUUGAGGUGACUCGGUACAGAGGAGAUGCCUCGGUACAGAGGAGAUGCCUCUUAAUUGUGUUUGCAGCC